GCAGGGGUAGAGAAAAGGGGCCUUGACCGGUGCUUUCUUAUUUAUCUUCACCACCAGCUUGCUGGGCCACAUUGCCUCAGGUGCAGGAGAGGCCUCUGAGGCUCGAGAUGAGACAGGACGGGAUUCGAGACGACUGUCGGGCACAAUCUAAUCACGGAGUUUCCCUGAAGAGGACAUCCCUCAGACAUCUGUGUGUGGGCCUGCGGCUGGAGCUCAGAGCAGGGCUGACUUCCCCACAUCCUCAGGAGAGGGUGUGAUGCGGUGGGAGGGAUGAGUGAGGCAGCCUUGCACAGCAGAGGGGGUGAGGGCAGUAAGUGUACCUGGCCCAGCCGUCAGAAGGGCCAGGGGAGGGACUGGUGGGGACAGGAAGUCUCAGAGGAGGAAGUAGCCUUUGAC
rnacentral:lncRNA from 1 species